UUCUCUCGACAACGAAUAUCUCAGCUCUCGCAUCGAUGAAGAAGGUAGCGAAAUGCGAUGCUUGGUGUGAAUUGCAGAAUCCUGUGAACCAUCGAGUCUUUGAACGCAAGUUGCGCCCGAAGCUAUUUGGCCGAGGGAACGUCUGCCUGGGCGUCA
rfam:Solanum lycopersicum unplaced genomic scaffold SL2.40sc06977, whole genome shotgun sequence.